GAUGAACGCUGGCGGCGUGCCUAAUACAUGCAAGCCGAGCGAACAGACGAGGAGCUUGCUCCUCUGACGUUAGCGGCGGACGGGUGAGUAACACGUGGAUAACCUACCUAUAAGACUGGGAUAACUUCGGGAAACCGGAGCUAAUACCGGAUAAUAUAUUGAACCGCAUGGUUCAAUAGUGAAAGACGGUUUUGCUUUCACUUAUAGAUGGAUCCGCGCCGCAUUAGCUAGUUGGUAAGGUAACGGCUUACCAAGGCAACGAUGCGUAGCCGACCUGAGAGGGUGAUCGGCCACACUGGAACUGAGACACGGUCCAGACUCCUACGGGAGGCAGCAGUAGGGAAUCUUCCGCAAUGGGCGAAAGCCUGACGGAGCAACGCCGCGUGAGUGAUGAAGGUCUUCGGAUCGUAAAACUCUGUUAUUAGGGAAGAACAAAUGUGUAAGUAACUAUGCACGUCUUGACGGUACCUAAUCAGAAAGCCACGGCUAACUACGUG
rnacentral:rRNA from 1 species